UGGGGAAUCUUGGACAAUGGGGGCAACCCUGAUCCAGCCAUGCCGCGUGAGUGAUGAAGGCCUUAGGGUCGUAAAGCUCUUUCGCCUGUGAAGAUAAUGACGGUAGCAGGUAAAGAAACCCCGGCUAACUCCGUGCCAGCAGCCGCGGUAAUACGGAGGGGGUUAGCGUUGUUCGGAAUUACUGGGCGUAAAGCGCGCGUAGGCGGAUUGUUAAGUCGGGGGGUGAAAUCCCGGGGCUCAACCCCGGAACUGCCUUCGAUACUGGCAAUCUAGAGAUCUGGAGAGGCGAGUGGAAUUCCGAGUGUAGAGGUGAAAUUCGUAGAUAUUCGGAGGAACACCAGUGGCGAAGGCGGCUCGCUGGCCAGAUACUGACGCUGAGGUGCGAAAGCGUGGGGAGCAAAACAGGAUUAGAUACCCUGGUAGUCCACACCGUAAACGAUGAAUGCCAGUCGUCGGGUAGCAUGCUAUUCGGUGACACACCUAACGGAUUAAAGCAUUCCGCCUGGGGAGUACGGUCGCAAGAUUAAAA
rnacentral:rRNA from 1 species